GGUCACCCGGCUUGUUGCUUUUCUGGUCGCCACUCCCCCGGCCGGCCAGACAAGACCCGCCAGUAGCGCGGCACCGAUUCCUCUCGGGCUUGUGGGCGCUGCUCUGAGCAGCGUCAUCCUUUAUACCAGAAAGCUGGCGGGCACUAUGGGGAAAAAACAAAACAAGAAGAAAGUGGAGGAGGUGCUAGAAGAAGAGGAAGAAGAAUAUGUGGUGGAAAAAGUUCUAGACCGUCGAGUGGUAAAGGGCAAAGUGGAGUAUCUCCUAAAGUGGAAGGGCUUCUCAGAUGAGGAUAACACAUGGGAACCAGAAGAGAACCUGGAUUGCCCUGAUCUCAUUGCUGAGUUUCUGCAGUCACAGAAAACAGCACACGAGACAGAUGAAUCAGAGGGAGGCAAACGCAAAGCUGAUUCUGAUUCGGAAGAUAAGGGGGAGGAGAGCAAACCAAAGAAGAAGAAAGAAGAGUCAGAAAAGCCACGAGGCUUUGCCCGGGGUUUGGAACCAGAGCGGAUUAUUGGAGCUACGGACUCCAGUGGAGAACUCAUGUUCCUAAUGAAAUGGAAGAACUCUGAUGAGGCUGAUCUGGUCCCUGCCAAGGAAGCCAAUGUCAAGUGCCCGCAGGUUGUCAUAUCCUUCUAUGAGGAAAGGCUGACGUGGCAUUCUUACCCCUCAGAGGAUGAUGACAAAAAAGAUGAUAAGAAUUAACUUCCUUGAAUACCAGCCCCUGUCACAUCUGACUGUGGGUUUCAAGUGGGGAAAGAAGGAGUUCUCCUUGUCUUGACACCAUGAAGGUGGCUUGAGAAGAUGUCCUUUGAAGAGCCAGUAUAGUUUCUGUGCCCUACAGCAGCCCAGGGCUUCAAAGCCGCCCCAUGCUGUAC